UAUAUAAAGAGAAAGAGUUAGGCUGAUAUACUAUCAGUAGCACGGAGUCUUCCGUGCUGCCAAGUUAUUUUCAACGAUGCGGCUUCCAAAUCGAUGACCGGCUUCGUUAGACUUGAUUUACACUAUUGAAAGUAUUUGAAAAUUAAAUUUCAUAAUUUUUCAGCAUCAUUUAUCUAUAAAAUGAGCAGUCUAAAAAUGAACGGCUAAAAAUACAAUUCUCAUAAAAAAUGGUGAUAAAAUACUUGAAUUUAAGAUCAGAGGUGCCGAUCUCCCUCUAAAUAGUGAAAAAAAAUUUCUAUAAAAAUUUCAUCAGAUUUGGAUUAUUUUACACCGUUAAAUUCACAAACGCAUCACAUCUACUAUUAAAAUUAUCAAUUCUGAGACCUUUUGAUCACUAGCCAAAUAAUAUCAAAAAAUUAUGAAAUUUAAUUUUCAAAUAUUUUCAACAGUAUAGAUCAAGACUAACGGAGCCAAUCGUCGAUUUGGAAGCCGCAUCAUUGAAAACAAUUAGACAGCACGGAGGCCUCCGUACUACCGAUAAUAUACCGGCCUAUCUAUCUAUAUAUAUAUAUAA
rnacentral:lncRNA from 1 species